rnacentral:lncRNA from 1 species
GGUUGAUGACAGCUUAUGACAAAAUAUUAUGCGGACUUUAAGAUCCUGUUCAUAAUGCAGGCCUGUCCUCCUAACUACUUAGGAGGCUGAGGCAGGAGAACCCUUAGAUUCCAGGGUGGGUAACCUAGUGAGACCCCUUGUCAAUAUUUUUUUAUCAUGUUGAUUAAAUGAUUUCUAGAUUUGGAAAAUGCUGACAUUUUAAAACCUUACAAAAUUAAGACAGCAGAUUAACUUUUAGUAUAAAUGAAGAUAGGAGGCCAUCAAAUAAUUAAGUAGUAAAAAUUUUAUACUCAGACUAUAAUCAAAACCUGACAUUUGCUCAGAAAAUUUAUAUUCUCAUUAUGAGAUGUCGUCAGUAUGUUACAGUGCUAGUCUCUCUAACCUGUAAAGGAAGAUAACAAUCUAAAACUCGAAAAAGGGAAGCUCGGAAAGUUUCACUUUUGUGGUUGUCUUAGUAACAAGAAUAAACACACGCAAAGUUUGUCACUCCGUAUCCCAAGGGCCUAGCAUGGCGCCAAGAAAUUCAAAGCCUCAGAAUGCGCGAGAUCCCGCUAAUGAUGAAGAUGAUGAUAUUUUGCGUGACUCCAAUGUACUGGGAAAAGAGGAUGGUCUUUAGGAACUGCACGGAAAAUGAAAAAGUCAUCAUAUGGAAUCAAUCAACAGUAAAUGUCCUCAGGAGAGGAAAUUAUAAUCAGAAGAAACUUGAAUUGGAAAGAUUCCUGGAGAUUAUCUGCCACACACGAGUGCCCACAGCUUGAGAUUGCUCUCCAUGUUUGCACCCCAGCGUUAAGCCGGUCUUGUGGACUGCUAAUGAGGGGCACAGCAGCCUUCACGGAGUGAGCUAUCUGAUGACACCGAGCUUCAAUCAUUAAAAACUCUUCGUUAUCAC